GGGUUACGUGUAAUCUAAGCCUUUAAUGUGAACGAUUUAAUAAGUUUAAUUGAUAUAAGUAAUGGUACAACAAGAAUAACUAUUAGUAAACUUUAAGAUACCUAGUAUACGGUUCAUUCGUAAAUAAAGUCUGGAUGCAGAUCAUCAGACUAGUCCUUGUCUACGUUAAGGAAGGAAAAGUUCCUUUCUCGCGAUCUCCGUAAACCAUACCGGUUCCGGAAUCUUGGGAACUUACCUUGAUGCACUCUUGUGUUGGAUCCACACAAGUGUGUCAUACUUUUGUGCCCGCACUCUUCCAUGCUCGGAAGCAUGAGAAGUGUUGCCUUUUAUUUCCCUUGUGUAAAUAUGUGGUAUAAUGUGGAUGUUUACCCACUUUGAGCCAAAUUCAAAAUUAAUGUUUUAGGUUAGAUUAGAUUAGUUAGUUGAUGUACUAAUCCUAUCUUUAACUUUGUGGAGUGGUUGUGACUGUAACUACAGCUACAACUGCUAGGAGCUACUACUCCUGACCCAUAUUAAAGUACUAACCCUGCCAAGAAUAAACUUCGUUUUGGUUUUUGCCAGAAUAAUUUUCUGAAGGAAAAUUAUAUCGAGUGGAGGGGGAAUGUAGCGUUCCGCUACGUUUACGAGUAGCCACUCCCGACAACCGUAAUAAUUAACAUCGAAUAACAAAAAGUUACCUUACGAUCGAGGUAGUAAAAUGAAAACAGAAUUAGUGCUAGCUAACCAACGACUUAAGAAGGUCAAAUACAGACAAAUAUGUGUUGGAGAAAAAACGGCAGAUGUCAUACAUAAAAGAAUAGGAGAUAUUCAAUAAAUCUAUUUUGGAAUUGCAAUUACAAAGCAAGCUAAAUAUAUCUGUAAAAAUAUAAUAUACCUAAAAUGAACGUCUGCCGUACCUAGAGAAUUAUAAAAUAGAACCAAGCUUUUAAUAUCCCACAAAGACAACUUAUAUGGAAAAUGCACUAAGAAUAACAUUCCUAUUAAUUAUCUGGAACGUAAAUCUUCCCUAAGAUGUGUAUACUCAUAGAGCCGCUUACCGUCUGAUAAACCGGCACGUCCAUAAGCCAACACUUUGAAUUAGAGCUGAAGCAAUUUCAUCUAGAUUGGAACAAAGAUAAGUGUACUUAAUUAAUGUUCUCAUUUAUAGACCGAAUUGUGUUCCGCAAUAUAUUAUAUAUUUAUUGGACAUUUGUUGUUAAGUACUAGAUUAUUUUUGUAACUUCCCUUAUCAUAUCUUUUACUAUCGGUUGUGUCUACACAACAAAUAAUAUUUUGUCAAUUUUUCAUCUAAAUCUCAAUGCAUGUAAGGGAACAUAAGUACUUAUAGACCUAAAGCAUUGGUCUCUAUAGGGUUCAUUACAUAAUAACUUAGGUAUUGUGGUAGAUAAUAUACAAGUAUAUUAAUACGGUAUUAUGAAGAAUAUCAUCUGGUUCUGUUGACUAGCACUCACUAUUGUUUUUCUGUCUCUUUAUUGUUUGUAUCUGAAAGAAACGUAAACUCAUAGAAAUCAUUUAAUAGUCGGAAACUUUUACGUUAUCUGCUUAUAUCUUGGCAACCAAAAUUUUAACAUUACUCAUAUUCAUUAUUUAUAUUAUUAAUUAAAUUUUACUAUUAUAUAUUCAUCUUGCAGGCCAAUGUUUUACAUUAUUAUACAUUAUUUAUAUUUUUAGCUAGAAAUUUUACAUUAUAUAUAUAUACAUUAGUUACCAAAAUCUUACUUUACAUAUAUCUAGGUAUUUUUUUUUACACAAUAAAAAUAAGGUAUACCUA
rnacentral:lncRNA from 1 species